GCUUUCCUACUUGCUUGCUCUGUAUUUACAUGCAUUGCUUUUGACUUGUUAUUCUCCUUUGUCCUCUGUUUCAUUAGUUUCCCUUCAACCCUCCCCCUUCCCUCACCCUACCUCCAAUUUUUUCCUUCCUACCCUCUCUCCUCUCCCCCCCCAGCCACCCACACCCCCACUUACUCACCCCCCUCACCUCUGCCCCCUCUCCACCCCUCCUCCCUCCCCCUCUCGCCCCACUCACCCCCCUCUUGCCCCACUGCUCCUCCCCCUCUCCCCCCUCUCCUUCACUUCCCCUCCCCUCCCCUCCCCUCCCCUCUCUUUUGCCCCCAUCCACUACCAUUCCCCCUCGCUUUAAGGGAAACUUACCUUUCCUGCUCUUCACUGACUUCUUGAUUCUCGUGGCUCUGGCUGCUAUUUUGCCUUGUUUUCCUUUGCUCUGCUAUGCACUGCUUUCUCUGUAUUUCUUGCCAUCCACUCCUUCCUUUGAGUUAUUCUUUACUUUUUCACUUGGCUUUUUUCUUCUUUUCUCUUUACCUUUCUUCUCUUGUCAUUAUUCGGUUUUUUGUAUGCUUUUUCUGUUUUCAUCUAUUAGUUUUUCUUUUCUUUUUUUUUCUUUUUUUGUCUUUUCUCUUUUUUCUCUUUUUUGUUCAUUUUCUUUCUUUCUUUUCUCUUUUUUGUCUUUUUUGUUCAUUUUCUUUUUGUCUUUUAUCUUUUUUCUCUUUUUCAUUCAUUUUUUCAUUUUUCUUUUCAUUUUUUCUCUUUUUCUUAUUUUUCUUUUCUUUUUUCUCUUUUUUCAUAUUUUUUGUUCUUUUUUUCUUUUCUUUUUUCUUUUCUUUUUUCUUUUCUUUUUUCUUUUCUUUUUUCUUUUUUUUUUUCUUUUUUUUUUUCUUUUCUUUUUUCUUUUCUUCAUAUUUUCUCUUUCUCUUUUUUUAUUUCUUUUUCUUUUUUGUUCUUUUCGCUUUUUCUUUAUUUUCUUUUUCUCUUUUCAUCUCUUUUUCUUUUUCAUCAUUUUUCUCUUCCUUCAUUUUUUUCUCUUUUCUAUUUUUCUUUUCUUUUUUUCUCUUUUUUUCCAUAUUUUUUGUUCUUAUUUUUUCUUUUCUUUUCUUUUUCAUCAUAGGUUUGCCUUCAGCCCUCCCCUCAGCCCUUCCCUCCGCUCUGCUCUUCACCCAUCCCCUCCCCUCCCCAUCCCUCUUUUCUCCCUUACCCUCCCCUUUCCCCUUGCCUUUGCCUCCCAGUACCUUGCCUGCCCUUCACUUACCUUCUCCUCACUUCCUGCUCCUUGAUGCUAUGGGCUUUUGCUGCUACUCACGCCAAACCCCAACACUUGCCUACUCUGCGUGCUGCUCUGCCAAGUUGCUCUCUACUCUGCUCACAGCUUCACGCCUACUGCCUGCCCUUCUCUGUCCCCUUCUCGUGCCCUUCACGCUUUUCCUCCCCUUGCUGAGCAAGGCCAUGCCCGGUAGCUACCCUUGAACCUCCUCCGCCCUUUGCCUUCCUCCACAGAGAUGCUUGCUUCUGGCCAGCACUCCUGCCCGGUGCCUAGCCCACACACCUCAUCUCUUGGGGAGAUAGCAAGCUGGCCUGUAGCUACCCACACCUCCUCCCGGGCAUGGCUUCUCAGCUUUGCUUCAAGCCCAGAACCCAAAGGAGCUCCUCUUACCUUUUGGCCCACAUUCUUCUCCUCCCGCGCAGCUCCUGUGGCAAGCAGGGGCACAGCUCUGGCCAGAGUCCUCCAUUCCUGCAAGGUUGCUUUUUGUCAUUCUUUGCCUUCUGUUGCUGUGCUCUCUUUUGCUGUGCUAUGCCUAGCUUUCCUACUUGCUUGCUCUGUAUUUACAUGCAUUGCUUUUGACUUGUUAUUCUCCUUUGUCCUCUGUUUCAUUAGUUUCCCUUCAACCCUCCCCCUUCCCUCACCCUACCUCCAAUUUUUUCCUUCCUACCCUCUCUCCUCUCCCCCCCCAGCCACCCACACCCCCACUUACUCACCCCCCUCACCUCUGCCC
rnacentral:lncRNA from 7 species